AUAUUACACAAUUCGUGUUCUUGAAAUUACUAUGCCCAUAGUAAUGUUGAAACAUCGUCAUUCGUGUUGUCGAAAAUACUAUGCUCAAUAUAAAUUCAUAGUAAUUUUACCAAUGUGCAUCGUUUGAGUGUUUGUUUUUUUUCUGGUCAGUCAGUCGCGAUUUCGGAACGCGGACCAAAAUGUUGGGCGGGUACUUCGCUGAGGUGAAUGCGGCUGUUUCGGCUAACCAGGUGACCAGCCCACUGGGAGUGAAAAAUAGAAUCAGCACUUUUGUCGGGUCGGAAAACGCAGUCUCUCAGCUGUUGCAUCCCGAAAUCCCCCGGUCGUGAGAACCUGCUCCCUCCUGACCAGCCACUGAAAAUUGACGGGGGAAUUGAAGUUUCCAGAAGAUUAUCCUUGCGCCUUUCUGAAUCGUUGGGCUCAAGAUGACUAUGCCAACACAUCCAAAUCGAUUCCAGCGGCAUACAAUAAAUUAUCAAAGUAGAAGCAGACUAUAUUGUAUCGUGCUUCAAUUAUAAAGUGAAGUGUUGUGAAAAAUAAAAAUGUAAAUCGUUUCAAAAUAAAUUAUUUCUG